UACGAAGGGGGCUAGCGUUGUUCGGAAUUACUGGGCGUAAAGCGCAUGUAGGCGGCGAUUCAAGUCGGGGGUGAAAUCCUGAGGCUCAACCUCAGAACUGCCUUCGAUACUGCAUUGCUGGAGUAUGGAAGAGGUAGGUGGAACUGCGAGUGUAGAGGUGAAAUUCGUAGAUAUCCGCAAGAACACCAGUGGCGAAGGCGGCCUACUGGUCCAUCACUGACGCUGAGAUGCGAAAGCGUGGGGAGCAAACAGG
rnacentral:rRNA from 1 species